GCCUCCUUAGCUCAGCUGGUUAGAGCGCCGGACUGUUAAUCCGUAGGUCCUAGGUUCGAGCCCUAGAGGAGGCG
rnacentral:tRNA from 1 species